UAGGGAAUCUUCGGCAAUGGGGGGAACCCUGACCGAGCAACGCCGCGUGAGUGAAGAAGGUUUUCGGAUCGUAAAGCUCUGUUGUUAAGGAAGAACGAGUGUGAGAAUGGAAAGUUCAUACUGUGACGGUACUUAACCAGAAAGGGACGGCUAACUACGUGCCAGCAGCCGCGGUAAUACGUAGGUCCCGAGCGUUGUCCGGAAUCACUGGGCGUAAAGGGUUCGCAGGCGGAAAUGCAAGUCAGGUGUAAAAGGCAGUAGCUUAACUACUGUAAGCAUUUGAAACUGCAUAUCUUGAGAAGAGUAGAGGUAAGUGGAAUUUUUAGUGUAGCGGUGAAAUGCGUAGAUAUUAAAAAGAAUACCGGUGGCGAAGGCGACUUACUGGGCUCAUUCUGACGCUGAGGAACGAAAGCGUGGGUAGCAAACAGG
rnacentral:rRNA from 1 species